AAAGUCGUAACAAGGUCUCCGUAGGUGAACCUGCGGAGGGAUCAUUAACACUAUUUGGCUGAGAGAAGAACAAAGUCGAAAGACAAUGGGACACUCGCAGUUCAAAUUACAAACACACUGUUGAACUCGGUUACCUUGCGUAGCCAAUCUCCUCCCUUUGAAACGGAAAUGUUGAUGAAUGGUUUGUAGUGGGAUGACGCAAGUCAUCGACUAUUCAUUGACUAUCAAAGCUUUAUUGACUUUGGAAUUUCCGUUUCUUAGGCAAUCCAACCCCAGUUUCCUCCACUAUAGAAAUGAACUUAUUUCACUCCUUCGUACUCCAAUUGACUGAUCUCAUGCUAGAGGACCGAAAGGGACUCACUAUAGCAGCCUUUAAGAUAAUUCUUAAACUAAGCACAACUCUUAGCAACGGAUAUCUUGGCUCUC
rnacentral:misc_RNA from 1 species